ACAAGCCGACGUCCUAUGGACAAUUGUGCUUUCUGCGCUGGUCGUCGCUCAGUGCUGAAACCGCUGGCAGUUCGUCGUUGCUGGAAUCCUGGGCAUGGUUUCUGGAUAUGCGAAGAAUUUACGUUGGGCUAUCAGUUACACGGUCAUGUCCGUCCUGUCUUUGUUGAGUGCGUGCGUCGUCGUUGGCUUCAGCGUUGCCAAUAUCAUUUUAGGCAACGUACUCGAUGACAUUCCAGUUGUGAAGGCAUGUAGAAUUUUGUCUCCUUUUUCCUUUUAAAAGAUAAGUAAACAUUUUUUUCCUGCAUCGGUUAAAAUAGACAUUUAUAGUCUGCCGUUCUCUUACCAAUCUUUUCAUUUUCUCCAUUAUUAUGUUUCACCUAAGGUGCCGGAU